rnacentral:rRNA from 1 species
CAGGCCUAACACAUGCAAGUCGAACGGCAGCACAGGAGAGCUUGCUCUCUGGGUGGCGAGUGGCGGACGGGUGAGGAAUACAUCGGAAUCUACUUUUUCGUGGGGGAUAACGUAGGGAAACUUACGCUAAUACCGCAUACGACCUACGGGUGAAAGCAGGGGAUCUUCGGACCUUGCGCGAUUGAAUGAGCCGAUGUCGGAUUAGCUAGUUGGCGGGGUAAAGGCCCACCAAGGCGACGAUCCGUAGCUGGUCUGAGAGGAUGAUCAGCCACACUGGAACUGAGACACGGUCCAGACUCCUACGGGAGGCAGCAGUGGGGAAUAUUGGACAAUGGGCGCAAGCCUGAUCCAGCCAUACCGCGUGGGUGAAGAAGGCCUUCGGGUUGUAAAGCCCUUUUGUUGGGAAAGAAAUCCAGCUGGUUAAUACCCGGUUGGGAUGACGGUACCCAAAGAAUAAGCACCGGCUAACUUCGUGCCAGCAGCCGCGGUAAUACGAAGGGUGCAAGCGUUACUCGGAAUUACUGGGCGUAAAGCGUGCGUAGGUGGUCGUUUAAGUCCGUUGUGAAAGCCCUGGGCUCAACCUGGGAACUGCAGUGGAUACUGGGCGACUAGAAUGUGGUAGAGGGUAGCGGAAUUCCUGGUGUAGCAG